rnacentral:rRNA from 1 species
AAAACUUUCAACAACGGAUCUCUUGGUUCUGGCAUCGAUGAAGAACGCAGCGAAAUGCGAUAAGUAAUGUGAAUUGCAGAAUUCAGUGAAUCAUCGAAUCUUUGAACGCAUCUUGCGCCCUCCGGCACCCCGGUGGGCAUGCCCGUUCGAGCGUCAUC